AUGCAAAGAAAAAGCUGUAAUGGGAAAAGAAACAAACCCUAGAAAGGGUUGUAAUAAUCUGAAUAAAGAAACCUCAAAAGACCUUUACUUUCAUCAUUUCACAAUGUACCAAAAAGGAAACCAUUUGCCCAACCCAGCCCGGCCCGGACCGGCCCGGGCCGAUCCCCCAAUCCCCAUUAAUGCCAUUAAUCAAUUCCCCUCACGCCUUUAAUUCAUUGCCUGCAAUUCCCCCUCUCUCUCUAUAUACCUUUUCUCCCUCUCCUCUCACUACUAUUCAAUUCCCCAAAUCUUCCCUGUCUCUCUCUCUCUCUCCUCUUUUGCUUGAUUUAAGUUAAAUCUUUGCAGCUUCACACCACCCCCAAAUUGAAAUCAAACCCUAUUUUUCAAAAUCAUCAUCAUCAACAUAUAUAAAUAUAUUAUUGUUGUUUCGUUGUGAUCUGCUUGAAUAAACAUGGAUCACAUCUCCCACGAAAGUUUCACGAAUCAUCCUUACCCAAUGGGUUUAAUGGAAGAUCAUCAUCAUCAUCAUCACUACAAUCAGGGCCCUUACGAUCACCACCACCACCAAUGGCUCCAUCACUACAAUUCCGGCGACCCAUCCAGCCUGAUCCCGCUAGAAGAAGACCCUAACUCCAAAGAAGCGGCGGCGGAGGCGGCGGAGGCAAACGAGCUUCUGCAAGAAGUUGCAGCAGACGACCACGAAGAAGAGGAGCUCGGCGCCAUGAAAGAGAUGAUGUUCAAAAUCGCCGCAAUGCAGCCCGUCGACAUCGAUCCCGCCACCAUCCGGAAGCCCCGCCGCCGCAACGUCCGGAUCAGCGACGACCCCCAAAGCGUCGCCGCCCGCCACCGCCGCGAGAGGAUCAGCGAGAAGAUCAGAAUCCUUCAGCGCCUCGUCCCCGGCGGGACAAAGAUGGACACAGCUUCCAUGCUCGAUGAGGCAAUUCGUUAUGUUAAGUUCCUCAAGCGACAAAUCCGAAUCCUCCAGGCCAACGGCGGCGGCGGCGCCGCCCACCCGCCCUGCGUAGCUGUCGCCGCCGCUGCUGCAGCUCCGUCGGAGGAUUGGGCUGUCGCGACGCCGUCGUCGUCGCCGUACUUGUUUGGAGGAGGCAAUAAUGCAGGUGAUGAACAUUCGAUAUGUUUCAGUGAUCAUAAGUUUAAUUAUUUGUGACUCAUAAUUAAUUAAUUGCAUAAAUUAUAAGGGUUUUUGUGUAUUGAACUAAUUUCGACAUAUAUAAAAUAUAUAUAUAUAUAUAUAUUAUAUCAUGUGAUGAUAAGAAGAAAAAGGUUUGUUAGGAUUUUGUUGACUAAGGGGAGCAUUGGAAUAAUCACAAAACGGUUAGCCAUCCAGACUAAAAUUUACUAUUAAUUUAAUUAAUUAAAUUAUUCUGUGUGUCCGUGUGUAUAUAUACAUAUAGAUAUAUGUGAAUAAUACGCACAACAUUUGGUCGUCCUCAGAAAGUUCCCUCGGCCUAAUUCCCAUUCUUUCCCUGGAAUAAAACAGUGAUAUUUAGAGACAUUAAAUUUAAGGGGCAGUUCAAGACCAUAUCAGCUGCUCUGAGAAAGUUCCUUUCAAGAAGGAGGCUUCAAGACUCAUUUGGUUAGAUUUAUAUAUAUAUACAUAUAUAUAUAUAUAUAUAGAGAGAGAGAGAGAGAGAGAGAGACCUAACUGUAGACAAAUUCUUAUUGUUAUGUUGAGCUAAUUAACUUGUGUAAGAAUAUGAUUAUUACUGAGCUAGGCCCCAAAUUAUGGCUAUAUAUAUUAUUUACUGCUAAUCAAUAAGUUGUCUGACAUAUAAACAUUUUUCGAUUGAAAAUC